GGCCCGUUGGUCAAGCGGUUAAGACCCCGCCCUUUCACGGCGGUAACACGGGUUCGAAUCCCGUACGGGUCA
rnacentral:tRNA from 1 species